AGUGAACGCUGGCGGCAGGCCUAACACAUGCAAGUCGAGCGGCAGCGCGGGGGCAACCCUGGCGGCGAGCGGCGGACGGGUGAGGAAUUCGUCGGAAUCUGCCUUUUUGUGGGGGGUAACGUAGGGAAACUUACGCUAAUACCGCAUACGUCCUACGGGAGAAAGUGGGGGACCGCAAGGCCUCACGCAGAAAGAUGAGCCGACGACCGAUUAGCUAGUUGGUGGGGUAAAGGCCCACCAAGGCGACGAUCGGUAGCUGGUCUGAGAGGAUGAUCAGCCACACUGGGACUGAGACACGGCCCAGACUCCUACGGGAGGCAGCAGUGGGGAAUAUUGGACAAUGGGCGCAAGCCUGAUCCAGCCAUGCCGAGUGUGUGAAGAAGGCCUUCGGGUUGUAAAGCACUUUUGUCCGGAAAGAAAUCCCUGGAGCUAAUACCUUCGGGGGAUGACGGUACCGGAAGAAUAAGCACCGGCUAACUUCGUG
rnacentral:rRNA from 1 species